UGAAAACUCAAAUACCGUGGCUGAUUAUACUGCAACAUUAUUCUACACUUGCCUAGGAAGAUAAGUAGAGUUGUGUUAGAUUAUUAUAGUUUACAGAUGCAAUCACAAAUUAGUCUUAGAGAAUUAAGAUAAAGUAAAACAUCAUCAGCAUAUUUCACACUGCCAAAAACAGCUGAACAUGCAGCUAAACAGAUACAUUUACAAGAUGUCUUCCUUCAUACAACAUCAAAUCUGUUCCUAUGAUUUGUAUUUUUCACUUUUUGAGUACCCCUCCACAGUGUGGAAGUACCCAGUACCGGCGGCGAUAACGGUCCUGGCCAUACAUCAUGGAGCGCAGAGAAUGGGAUAUUUCAAACAGCUUUCUUCUGGUCUGAUGAUGUUGCUGCAAAGCUCCUCGAGACUGGUGGCUUGGUCAACUUCAUCCUGACAGAACAAAGUAAAUACAGUAAAUGUCUGUGAGCAACCCUCCAAGUUUCCUCUUGCGUUUGGCGGCAGAGGACGGAGUGCAAACAGACUGGUUCUCUUCCACACCCAUACUGGCCUCCCUCCUCCCAGUACGUUUGGCAUAAAUGGUCUUCAACCUGCAUCAACACACGCAGGUUCAGCAUGAUAGUGUACAGAGAAGUAAAAGCAUGACUUUUUAGGAUUAAAGAAAACUUACUUCUUCAGCUUUCCCUCCAUAAUGAUCUUAUCCUUCCUCAUGUUUGCCAUCUGAUCAAGGCUCUUGUCAAUCUCACUGCAAUAGGAAAUGUAAUCCUGUCAGUUACAUUUGUGCAUAUGUACAUUGAUGUUUUUGUUAUUGGUAAAGUAAUGGCAAAUAUGUUGAGUGAAAGAUAAAAGCUCAGUGAGGCUGGCAACUAUCUACAGCCAAAGUAAAAAGUUUAAUAAGCUGUUAUCCCGGAGCACAAAUUAGUACUUGCAUAAUUUGCUUACAAUCAAAAGGACUUUUACUGCUCUCAAAUUACUGCUCCCUACAGCAGCUUUAUUAAUCUUUUUCCACUGCAUCAA